UGGGGAAUAUUGCACAAUGGGCGCAAGCCUGAUGCAUCCAUGCCGCGUGUAUGAAGAAGUCCUUCGUGUUGUAAAGUACUUUCAGCGGGGAGGAAGGGAGUAAAGUUAAUACCUUUGCUCAUUGACGUUACCGACAGAAGAAGCACCGGCUAACUCCGUGCCAGCAGCCGCGGUAAUACGGAGGGUGCAAGCGUUAAUCGGAAUUACUGGGCGUAAAGCGCACGCAGGCGGUUGAUUGAGUCAGAUGUGAAAUCCACGGGCUUAACCCGGGAAUUGCAUCUGAUACUGGUCAGCUAGAGUCUUGUAGAGGGGGGUAGAAUUCCAUGUGUAGCGGUGAAAUGCGUAGAGAUGUGGAGGAAUAACGGUGGCGAAGGCGGCCCCCUGGACAAAGACUGACGCUCAGGUGCGAAAGCGUGGGGAGCAAACAGG
rnacentral:rRNA from 1 species